rnacentral:ncRNA from 1 species
ACGGAUACCUUGACGGGCCGCACCGCAAAAGCGACCCGAUCCCACGCCCCG